GGUUGAUCUGAGUGCAGUGGUGUUUACAACUAAUUGAGCACAACCACUUACAGAUUCCUUUGUUCCUUCUCCACUCCCACUGCUUCACUUGACCAGCCUUAA
rnacentral:Y_RNA from 1 species